CUAAGUUUGAUGGCGACCGGCGCACGGGUGAGUAACACGUAUCCAACCUGCCGAUGACUCGGGGAUAGCCUUUCGAGAGAAAGAUUAAUACCCGAUGGCAUAGUUCUUCCGCAUGGUAGAACUAUUAAAGAAUUUCGGUCAUCGAUGGGGAUGCGUUCCAUUAGGUUGUUGGCGGGGUAACGGCCCACCAAGCCUUCGAUGGAUAGGGGUUCUGAGAGGAAGGUCCCCCACAUUGGAACUGAGACACGGUCCAAACUCCUACGGGAGGCAGCAUG
rnacentral:rRNA from 1 species